rnacentral:rRNA from 1 species
UUCGGAGACCGAUAGUGCACCAGUACCGUGAGGGAAAGGUCAAAAGAACCCCGCGCAGGGGAGUGAAACAGAUCCUGAAACCGUACGCCUACAAGCGGUCGGAGCAUCUUCAUGGUGUGACGGCGUGCCUUUUGCAUAAUGAACCUACGAGUUGCCGUCGCCGGCGAGGUUAAGCGCAAUUGAUGCGCGCAGCCGAAGCGAAAGCGAGUCUGAAGAGGGCGUACAGUCCGCGGCGGCAGACGCGAAACCGAGUGAUCUACCCGUGGUCAGGAUGAAGUCCGGGUAACUCCGGAUGGAGGUCCGAACCGAUAAGCGUUGAAAAGCUUCCGGAUGAACUGCGGGUAGGAGUGAAAGGCCAAUCAAACUCGGAGAUAGCUCGUACUCCCCGAAAAGCAUUUAGGUGCUGCCUGGGGCGUUCCCCGCAUGAGGUAGAGCGACCGGCUGGAUGCGAGGGCUUCACCGCCUAUCAAGUCCUGUCGAACUCCGAAUGCAUGCGGGCCAAGCCCUGGAGAAAGGGGACGGGUGCUAACGUCCGUUCCCGAGAGGAGAAGAAUCCAGACCACCGGCCAAGGCCCCGAAGUGGAGUCUAAGUUAGUCUAACGAAGUCGCUUUCCGGUGACAGCUAGGAUGUUGGCUUGGAAGCAGCCAUUCAUUCAAAGAGUGCGUAACAGCUCACUAGUCGAGGAAGGCGGCAUGGAUAAUAAUCGGGUAUCAAGAUUCCCGCCGAAGCCGUGGGAUCCUUUUAUGGAUCGGUAGGGGAGCAUUCCAGUCUGCGUCGAAGGCGGUGCGCGAGCCCCGCUGGAGCGUCUGGAAAAGCAAAUGUAGGUAUAAGUAACGAUAAGGGGGGUGGGAUUCCCCCCCGCCGCAAGACCAAGGGUUCCCGGGCAACAUCAAUCGUCCCGGGGUAAGCCGGUCCCUAAGGCUAAGCCGAACGGCGAUGCCGAUGGAAAAACGGUCAACAUUCCGUUGCCGGUCAUGGGGGCGAUGCGGAGACGCGGAAGUGACACCGCCGCCGGCUGACGGAACAGCCGGUUGAAGGGUGUAGGUGCUGAGGGGCGCAGGCAAAUCCACGCCCCGAGCCGAACCUGACAGUAUGCCUUUCCCUUCGGGGCGAGGCAAGAGCGCGGGUAACCCCGCCGCCGAGAAAAUCCGCUAAGCUUAACCCCAUGUCCGUCCGUACCCUAAACGGACACACGUGGUCGGGUAGAACAUACUGAGGCGCUCGGGUGAUUCGCGGUUAAGGAACUAGGCAAAUUGACCCCGUAACUUCGGGAAAAGGGGUCCUCCGCUCCGGCGGAGGCGCAGAGAAUAGGUCCAGGCAACUGUUUACCAAAAACACAGGACUGUGCCAAGCAUAGAGGCGACGUAUACAGUCUGACACCUGCCCGGUGCCGGAAGGUUAAGAGGAGACGUCAUCUUCGGAGAAGCGUUGAAUUGAAGCCCCGGUAAACGGCGGCCGUAACUAUAACGGUCCUAAGGUAGCGAAAUUCCUUGUCG